CUACGGGAGGCAGCAGUGGGGAAUAUUGCGCAAUGGGGGAAACCCUGACGCAGCGACGAUUGCGCUCGCGAGAAGGCUUUCGGGUCGUAAACCUCUGUCAGGAAGGAAGAACCUCUCAAGGCUGACGUUAGGGGCAAAGUCGACGGUACUCUGCAUCGGCGUUA
rnacentral:rRNA from 1 species